rnacentral:rRNA from 1 species
UACGUAGGGUGCGAGCGUUAAUCGGAAUGACUGGGCGUAAAGGGUGUGUAGGCGGUAUGUUAAGUCUGAUGUGAAAUCCCCGGGCUCAACCUGGGAACUGCGUUGGAAACUAGCAAACUAGAGUACGUAAGAGGGGGGUGGAAUUCCACGUGUAGCAGUGAAAUGCGUAGAGAUGUGGAGGAACACCAAUGGCGAAGGCAGCCCCCUGGGACGAUACUGACGCUGAGGCACGAAAGCGUGGGGAGCAAACAGG